CCAGGAUCCCUCACGUUCCUAACAAACACAGUAAAACGAGAACCAUUUGUCAAAAGUGAAGCAAAACCUUUCCAUCGGCGCUUGGAUCUUUUUCGGUGGCCGCGUGAAUCAAUGUGAACUCGAUGCGAAACUCAACCCGGAUUCUUACAUUCGUACCGUCUCUGCGUCGUGGUUGUCCGAUUCUGAAUGGUGAUGCGUUUACAUCGUCGUCGUCUAAUUCAUGAUCGUUGUGCGGGAUGCAUCGUGAUAAGGAAUGACUGCUUGUAUUCGUUGUGGAUCGAAACGAAGAAUGUGGAUUCGUAUUCAGGUCCGUGCAUGGAGAUGGAAGAUGAAGAUUCUCAGAUUUGUGCGUGUGGCAUGAAGAUGAAGAUGAAGACGCCCCAAUUCUGUUAGAAGUUGUUAGAGAAUUCAGUUAGAAUAUUUUGAGUUGGUUAGAAGUGUGUUAUAUGGCUAUGACAGUUUUCUGUUAUGCAUUGGAAGAUUAUGAAUUGGAAUUUUUGCUAUGGUUUUACAGAUUAUGCCGUUUCUGGAGUCUUGAUCCGGUUGUUAUGCAUUGCAGACCGUUGCCAGUAUAUAACUAGUGGGCAAUGUUGUUCUGCAGCAGGUUGGCUCCCUUAAUAGUGCAAAAUUUAUGAUAGGCUCGUGGUUGAUUAGAUUGAUGCAUUGCAGACUGGUUUUGGCUCGUAAUCGGCUUUUUGAGCAUAUAUGUGGUUAGGAUUAGUAACUCUGAAUUUGGUAGGCGGCAAAGUUGCUCGAUUUAGGAUUAUUUGUGUUCGACUUUUGUGUGUUCUAUUGUCAUGAGGGUUCUAUUUUGUGAAUUUGAAAAUUGGAUGUAACAAAUGGGAAUUCGUGGUAAUUUCGGGCAUUGCCCAAGGUUGUAGCAGCUUUGAAAUGUGAAUGUGUCGGUUUGAAUUUUUGCAUUUUAUUUCGAACAUUGUAAUCAAAGGUUCGUGAAAUGACGCAAUGGCUUUGGUUUGAAUGACU